AUUGAACGCUGGCGGCAUGCCUUACACAUGCAAGUCGAAUGGCAGCACGGGGCAACCUGGUGGCGAGUGGCGAACGGGUGAGUAAUGCAUCGGAACGUACCUUUCAGUGGGGGAUAACGUAGCGAAAGUUACGCUAAUACAGCAUAUUCUGUGAGCAGGAAAGCAGGGGAUCGCAAGACCUUGCGCUGAUUGAGCGGCCGAUGUCAGAUUAGCUAGUUGGUGAGGUAAAGGAUCACCAAGGCGACGAUCUGUAGCGGGUCUGAGAGGAUGAUCCGCCACACUGGAACUGGGACACGGUCCAGACUCCUACGGGAGUCAGCAGUGGGGAAUUUUGGACAAUGGGGGCAACCCUGAUCCAGCCAUGCCGCGUGAGUGAAGAAGGCCUUCGGGUUGUAAAGCUCUUUCGGCCGGGAAGAAAUCGCACGGGCUAAUACCCUGUGUGGAUGACGGUACCGGAAUAAGAAGCACCGGCUAACUACGUGCCAGCCGCCGCGGUAAGAC
rnacentral:rRNA from 1 species